AUUGAACGCUGGCGGCAGGCCUAACACAUGCAAGUCGAACGAGUGGCGGACGGGUGAGUAAUGUCUGGGAAACUGCCUGAUGGAGGGGGAUAACUACUGGAAACGGUAGCUAAUACCGCAUACCAUCGGAUGUGCCCAGAUGGGAUUAGCUAGUAGGUGGGGUAAAGGCUAGCCUAGGCGACGAUCCCUAGCUGGUCUGCGAGGAUGACCAGCAACACUAGAAAGGAGACACGGGCCAGACGCCUACGGAAGGCAGAGGUGGGGAAUAUGGCACAAUGGGCGCAAUCAUGAUGCAGGCAGGCCGCGUGUAUGAAGAAGGCCUUCGGGUUGUAAAGUACUUUCAGCGGGGAGGCGUUACCCGCAGAAGAAGCACCGGCUAACUCCGUGCCAGCAGCCGCGGUAAUUC
rnacentral:rRNA from 1 species